GUAGGGAAUAUUGCGCAAUGGACGAAAGUCUGACGCAGCAACGCCGCGUGGGUGAUGACGCUUCUUGGAGUGUAAAACCCUGUCAGUGGGGACGAAACGCAUGAUAAGUAACUGUUUCAUGCCUGACGGUACCCACAGAGGAAGUCCCGGCUAACUCCGUGCCAGCAGCCGCGGUAAUACGGGGGGGACAAGCGUUGUUCGGAUUUACUGGGCGUAAAGGGCGCGUAGGCGGGUCUUCAAGUUGGAUGUGAAAACCGGCGGCUCAACCACCGGCCUGCAUUCAAAACUGUUGAUCUUGAGUCGGGAAGAGGAAAGCGGAAUUCCAGGUGUAGCGGUGAAAUGCGUAGAUAUCUGGAAGAACACCGGUAGCGAAGGCGGCUUUCUGGUCCCACACUGACGCUAAAGCGCGAAGGCUUGGGUAGCAAACAGGAUUAGAAACCCCUGUAGUCC
rnacentral:rRNA from 1 species